AUUGAACGCUGGCGGCAGGCCUAACACAUGCAAGUCGAGCGAGCGGCGGACGGGUGAGUAAUGUCUGGGAAACUGCCUGAUGGAGGGGGAUAACUACUGGAAACGGUAGCUAAUACCGCAUACCAUCAGAUGUGCCCAGAUGGGAUUAGCUUGUUGGUGGGGUAACAGCUUACCUAGGCGACGAUCCCUAGCUGGUCUGAGAGGAUGACCAGCCACACUGGAACUGGGACACGGUCCAGACUCCUACGGGAGGCGGCAGUGGGGAAUAUUGCACGAUGGGCGCAAGCCUGGUGCAGCCAUACCGCGUGUGUGAAGAAGGCCUUCGGGUUGUAAAGCGCUUUCAGCGGGGAGGCGUUACCCGCAGAAGAAGCACCGGCUAGCUCCGUGCCAGCCGCCGCGGUAAUAC
rnacentral:rRNA from 1 species